GCUAUGGUAGCCUUGCAGUUAGAGCGUCAGCCUCGGAUGCGGAAGGUCGUGAGUUCGAACCCCAGCCGAAUAAUAACA